GAUUACUUAUUUUUGGAAAACAAAUGUUUUGAAAGCAUGGAAAAGAGGUUCGAACCCUCUAGUAAUCU
rnacentral:tRNA from 3 species